CAUGCUCAGAGUGCGGGAAAAGCUUCAAUUGGAACUCUACCCUUGUCAGACAUCGUAGAAUUCACACAGGAGAGACACCCUAUACAUGCGCUGAGUGUGGGAAAAGCUUCAGUCAGCGUUCAAACCUUAUCACACAUCAGAGAAUCCACACAAGGGAGAUGCCCUACACAUGCUCUGAGUGCGGGCAAAGCUUCAAUCAGCGCUCAAGGCUCAUUAGACAUCAGAAAAUGCACAGAAGAGAGAAUUGUAAUAAAUCCCUUGACUAGUGUUGACAAAAACGAAUUUUUUUAAAAAAAUCACAUUAGCUAAUUCGCACAUAGUGAUUUUUGCAUCGUCUUCACCGUGGUGUCUCAGCUCCACCAGAUAAGAUGCCGCCUUCUGCCUUUUGCAGCUCAUCCUUCUUUGGGAACCAGAACUGGGGAAAGAGAACACUGGAGUGAGUGGAAUUACAGCAGGAAAGGAUAAGUCUCAUGAUUCGUCACUAACCAAAGGCUUUGUAAACAGAGCGAUAAUGUUACUGAAUGGUCUGGCUAACCCUGCAGUUAGAAAUAAUCAGCUCUAUGGGUGGUAAAUUGACAGGCUUUGCUGCUGAACAUGAAAUAGCAGCUGUUGAAAGGUAAUAUGCUUCUAUUUCAAUGCCUCUGGAAGUACAGAAAACAAUGAUCUGUGUUAAAGGCAAGUUGCCAUUUCUCAGUGCCCCAAUUUCUAUUGUGUGUGUACAGGAAGGUUUGAAUGUGUAGCAGGUAGUUUGAUAAAGCUUAGCUAUUUUAUGUAUGUAACAGACUCCUGGCCACCUCCAGCAGAGGUUUCAGUCACGUACUAUGGCAACUUACUGAAUGUCACGCAAAUUAGUCCAUUCCUCCCCAUAGUCAGUCUCUGACCGGAAUGUUAGAAUGAGGCAGAGAACUGGGAAAGUAUCGCAGUAGGAAUACAUUAAAAAGUGGGAUUAAUCAGAGCUGGGAUGCAGACAGAGCCUGUUCUACAGCUGGUGAAGUGCUAGGGACACACUCCCACUAGUGCAGGCUCUGAAAUAAUGGCAGAAGCAGAUCGAAGAGAGUGAGCUCAUGUGCGAGCUAUGGGCAGCUGCCCUGUCAGUGCACCACUCACCUGGCAGGUGUUGCACAAAACGCAGCACUUCCCCUCUGGAAGAGAAACACCUCUCCCCGCUGCCACCACUUCAUUAUACCAUCCAUGAGGCUGUUUGUCCUGCAGGACUUUGAUCUCUUUGGGUGGUCCAUGGUGAAUCAUAAAAGAGCAGGAGUCAUCCCAAUGGAAAUCUCUUCACUUCUUUCUUAGUGUUACCUUCUUAGCCCUGGCUUUGGAGAAGACAUUAGCCUUAUCCUGUCUUGAUUUUAGGUAGGAUUUUGAUCACCUUCUGGGGCUUGGCAGCUUACAACUUUUGAGGGCUUUUCUCUGCCUUUUUGGUCCCUGCUGCAGUCAGUACAUGCUAGACAUGGGCAUGGUGACUUUCCUGAGGAUCUUGACAGCUUUAGCCAGCUUCUUGGGGGCUAUUUUCCUGCUCACAGCCACUGUCAUCUUCUCAUGCCUUGUUCUGGAGGCCCAGCUGCUGGUUGAAUGGGAAGGAGCCAAAGUGCCGGUGACUUUAUCCUGCACCUAGUUGCCUUUGCUCAUCAGACUCCUGAACUCCAACUGGAUGUGGCUCUUGUUCUUCUGCAGAGCAUAGCCAUGGAGAAGAGGGAUCUGCAAAUGUACAUUCAUACAUCCUUUGUUUAAUGGAUGAAAACAUAAACUCUACACUUAGAGGAUUGGAACUGCUUUCAGCUGAUGGUCAGGGUUGCUAGGUUUUUAUGCAUUUGGACAGUGAAAUGUUGAGUGUUUGCAUUCAUUUCAAGCAUCCCCGUAUAGUGGAGCUCCUGAACAUAAUGGAGAAUGGAAAUGAAAAUGUUUUCCCUUUUUUCAAAAAUAAAAAUAAGAAAAUAAGAGGCUUAUUAGAGGGCACUUGGAUUUGAAGCAAGGACCCCUUGAUCUUCAGUCAAACACUCUACCACUGAGCUUUACCCCAAUGAGAGCAGAUACUUUCCCCAUUGUAACUGAAGCAUAUCAGUGAUUCCAAUAGCAGGGGCAGGUUCUCUCUGGGGCACAGAGAUAUUUCGGGGAGCUGGUGGCUCCUUUCUUUCCUCACUCUGGAUUAAACUCAGUUUUUUAUUCCA